rnacentral:rRNA from 1 species
AUUGAACGCUGGCGGCAUGCUUUACACAUGCAAGUCGGACGGCAGCACAGAGAAGCUUGCUUCUUGGGUGGCGAGUGGCGAACGGGUGAGUAAUAUAUCGGAACGUACCGAGUAAUGGGGGAUAACUAAUCGAAAGAUUAGCUAAUACCGCAUAUUCUCUGAGGAGGAAAGCAGGGGACCUUCGGGCCUUGCGUUAUUCGAGCGGCCGAUAUCUGAUUAGCUAGUUGGUGGGGUAAAGGCCUACCAAGGCGACGAUCAGUAGCGGGUCUGAGAGGAUGAUCCGCCACACUGGGACUGAGACACGGCCCAGACUCCUACGGGAGGCAGCAGUGGGGAAUUUUGGACAAUGGGCGCAAGCCUGAUCCAGCCAUGCCGCGUGUCUGAAGAAGGCCUUCGGGUUGUAAAGGACUUUUGCCAGGGAAGAAAAGGCUGUUGCUAAUAUCAAUAGCUGAUGACGGUACCUGAAGAAUAAGCACCGGCUAACUACGUG